UGGGGAAUAUUGCACAAUGGGCGCAAGCCUGAUGCAGCCAUGCCGCGUGUGUGAAGAAGGCCUUCGGGUUGUAAAGCACUUUCAGCGAGGAGGAAGGUGGUGAGCUUAAUACGCUCAUCAAUUGACGUUACUCGCAGAAGAAGCACCGGCUAACUCCGUGCCAGCAGCCGCGGUAAUACGGAGGGUGCAAGCGUUAAUCGGAAUUACUGGGCGUAAAGCGCACGCAGGCGGUUUGUUAAGUCAGAUGUGAAAUCCCCGGGCUCAACCUGGGAACUGCAUUUGAAACUGGCAAGCUAGAGUCUCGUAGAGGGGGGUAGAAUUCCAGGUGUAACGGUGAAAUGCGUAGAGAUCUGGAGGAAUACCGGUGGCGAAGGCGGCCCCCUGGACGAAGACUGACGCUCAGGUGCGAAAGCGUGGGGCAGCAAACAGGAUUAGAUACCCUGGUAGUCCACGCUGUAAACGAUGUCGAUUUUGGAGGUUGUGCCCCUUGAGGCGUGGCUUCCGGAGCUAACGCGUUAAAUCGACCGCCUGGGGAGUACGG
rnacentral:rRNA from 1 species